GAGCCCUGCAUUAGGCCUCGGAUAAUCACAGCUGCCCGGAGCUCCAGGAGCGGGAACGAGAGGCUUUCUUCCAGGGCCACGAUCCCGCUGAAAUGAUUCGCACCCCUGGGCUGAUUGUCCCCGACGGAAAAUGAGAAGCCGGGACAUUCAAUGCAAAGGACAAUAGCCUUACUGGCUUAAUCCUAAAUAGUUGCUGCUGUUGUUUAUUUAUUUUAUUUCUACUUGUCUGCUGGUGAUUGGGGCGGUCACCGUGGGCCGGAUUCGACUUUUCCGACUCUGGAAGCGAGUCCAGGAGACGCAGAAAUUGAGCGGCAUCUUGUCCUCCGCGGGCGACCCACGUGUCCGUGUGAGGUCCCUCCACCUCUCGGGUGACGGCUGCGCAGGGAACCUCACCGCAUCGGCUUUCGGAGCCUCAGCUAGAAGCGCCUGGCGUCUGUUACACUGGCUUCCGGCAACGCAGCGGCGGCCCGGGCAGAAGAGAAGACGGGUGGUCUCUGGGCUCGGUGGGGACGCAGUGUGCCUGGCCUCGCCCGCUGGAACCAGAGACCCGCAUCCAGCGGAGUGGAUGCGCGCCUGCCGUGACCCGGGAGCCGCCUGCAGGUCCCGGGGUGGUCUCACCCGGCCUCUGGUGGCCACAGGGGCUGAUUGGGGCGGGGGGUGGGGAGCUUUCCCCUCGGCGCCUCGCACUAAGUCCCCGAGGAUGGUGAGAGCCGGAGUGAGGAGCGGAGAAAAGCGGGGAAAGAUGCGGUUUCAGGGCCUCUCUCGAAAGCCAGGUGCCCCCGCCGCCCUGGGGUGUCCUGGAGCGGAUGUCCCGAAGGGCAGCAAGGCCGUGGGGCCCAGGGAUCCGCUGUCCCACCAGGUCCAGCCCCCCUGACGGCCUCACUUGGAGCAUCUUUGGGGCUGUGCUCAGAUGCGGGUGGGGCCAGGCCCCUCAGAAAUGAGAGGGCAUUUCCUGGGGCGGUGGGCCUUCCUGAUUGCAGCCAGGUCCAACGGGCACCUGAAAAGCAGGCUUCUGGGACUCCAAGUGGACACUCAUGGG
ensembl:lncRNA